GACGAACGCUGGCGGCGUGCUUAACACAUGCAAGUCGAACGGAAAGGCCCCUUUGGGGGUACUCGAGUGGCGAACGGGUGAGUAACACGUGAGUAACCUGCCCUUGACUUCGGGAUAACUUCAGGAAACUGGGGCUAAUACCGGAUAGGAAUCCUUGCUGCAUGGUGGGGGUUGGAAAGCUUCGGCGGUUUUGGAUGGACUCGCUGCUUAUCAGCUUGUUGGUGGGGUAGUGGCUUACCAAGGCUUUGACGGGUAGCCGGCCUGAGAGGGCGACCGGCCACAUUGGGACUGAGAUACGGCCCAGACUCCUACGGGAGGAAGCAGUGGGGAAUAUUGCACAAUGGGCGGAAGCCUGAUGCAGCAACGCCGCGUGCGGGAUGACGGCCUUCGGGUUGUAAACCGCUUUCAGCAGGGGCGAAGCUUGUGGUGACGGUACCUGCAGAAGAAGCACCGGCUAACUACGUG
rnacentral:rRNA from 1 species